AUUCCAGCUCCAAUAGCGUAUAUUUAAGUUGUUGCAGUUAAAAAGCUCGUAGUUGGAUUUUGGUUAAGAGGGCGCGGUCGGCCGUUUGGUCUGUACUGCGUUGUCUUGACUUCCUGAUGAGGACAUGCUCUUGGUUAACGCUGAGACAUGGAGUCAUCGUGGUUACUUUGAAAAAAUUAGAGUGUUCAAAGCGGGCUUACGCUUGAAUAUAUUAGCAUGGAAUAACACUAUAGGACUCCUGUCCUAUCUCGUUGGUCUCGGGAUGGGAGUAAUGAUUAAGAGGAACAGUUGGGGGCAUUCGUAUUUCAUCGUCAGAGGUGAAAUUCUUGGAUUUAUGAAAGACGAACUUCUGCGAAAGCAUUUGCCAAGGAUGUUUUCAUCA
rnacentral:rRNA from 1 species